CUCAGCAAAUUAGCGAUAAAGUGUAUAAAAAAUCAGGUGAGCAGGUAAAGUCUGCAGGUUACGACCUCAGGUUAGACGCCAUUCCCUUCCAGACAGCCAAGGCCUCCAGAGAAAUUGCCAGUGAUUUCCACUACAAGGAGGCAUUUGUCAAAGGUAAAGGCCAGCAGGUGGGCUUUCUUAGCGUUGAGGAUGACCCCAAGAUCAGACACUCACUGGCUGUAGGGAAGCUCCAGAGUGACAACGAGUACAAG